rnacentral:rRNA from 1 species
UAGGGAAUAUUGCGCAAUGGGCGAAAGCCUGACGCAGCAACGCCGCGUGAGUGAUGAAGGCCUUCGGGUUGUAAAACUCUGUCAGAUGGGAAGAACCUUGACCGAUUUAUAAGAUCGGACAACUGACGGUACCAUCAGAGGAAGCUCCGGCUAACUCCGUGCCAGCAGCCGCGGUAAUACGGAGGGAGCUAGCGUUGUUCGGAAUUACUGGGCGUAAAGGGCGCGUAGGCGGUGAUGUAAGUCAGAUGUGAAAACCAUCGGCUUAACCGAUUGGAUUGCAUUUGAUACUGCACCACUUGAGUUCAGUAGAGGAGAGCGGAAUUCCCAGUGUAGCGGUGGAAUGCGUAGAUAUUGGGAAGAACACCAGUGGCGAAGGCGGCUCUCUGGACUGACACUGACGCUGAUGCGCGAAAGCUAGGGGAGCGAACA